GGGGAUAUAGCUCAGUGGUAGAGCAUUCGACUGCAGAUCGAGAGGUCCCCCCCGGUUCGAACCCGGGUGUCCCGU